rnacentral:tRNA from 1 species
GCCUACGUAGCUCAGUCGGCAGAGCACUCCCUUGGUAAGGGCGAGGUCAUGGGUUCAAAUCCCAUCGUGGGCU